AUUUAGAGUCGUCAAACAACCUACCACGCAUGUUUUUGGGAUGUGGGAGGAAACCGGAGUACCCAGAGAAAACUCACACAGGCACGGGGAGACAAUGCAAACUCCACACAGGCGAGGCCAGAUUUGAACCCGGGUCCUCAGAACUGUGAGGCAGAUGUGAUAACCAGCCGUCCGCCGUGUGUGUAAAAAAGUGAUAAUUGAAAAACAGAAAAAAAAAUAAAAAAGAGAAAUAUAAAGUGCCAGUACGCUGCAGAGUCAAUACAUUAUUUAGCGACACACUUCCCAGACACGUCAUAAUCUUAGCCUAUCCUAGCUGACUUUAGGCGAGAGCCAGGGUACACCCUGGAUUGGUCGCCAGAUAAUCACUGGGCACGUAGACAGACAACAAUUUACACUUGCAUUGACACUUAUGGACAAUUUAGUCUUCAAUUAUGAAAGUGCUUAUUUUUUCGAAUGUGGGAGGAAGCUGCAAUACCCUAGACACAGGAGGCUGGGUAACAAGUGGUUUGUACUUCUGCCCCACGGUUGAGAGGUUCUGGGUUUGAAUCUUGGCUACAGGUUGUGUGGGUUUUCUCUCUUCCUCCCACCUUCCCCAAAACAUGCAUGUUAGAUUCACUAAGAAUGGUUGCCGGUUUAUAUAGACUUACUUUUGUUCAGCUGGAAGCGGGGCCUUAGACAAGAUUAUGAAUCGUUCCAAAUGCAGAUUUCUGCUAGAAAGCCCUGGUGUGUAGGGGGUGUGUAGACUUUUUAUAUCUACUGUAAUGUGUAUGUGAAGUUUCCAUGCGAGGAUCUGCACAAACAACCAUUCACACCUAUGGAUAAUGUAACAAACAAACAUGAUUUUUUUUUUUCUUCAUCACGUAACAAAGGUAGUGUUUUGCAAUGUGAAGCGUCACGUGAUACCUCGGAGCCGCAUUGUGCAACUUCAAGACAACCUACCUUCUCGUGACAGUGACUCAUCACGUUGCGAAGCGGGGAUUGCCCACCUGACUUCAACCCGGUGACAUCAUCACCUGCUUGUGGCGCAGCUGGAAAAGCACCAGAGGAGAGCGGGGGCCAAGGGCACGAGUCGUUUGGAACGCCACUCUGCUCCUUACAACAAACUGAGAUCUGUGCAAUGAGCUUCUUCUCGUCAGAUUUCAACAUGGACAUAAUGACUGUUUCUCUUGGCUGCACUGCUUCCAGAACAUGUACUGUAUGCGGAUGUUCGAUUUUUUGGUCUAAUCAGAUUCCAGUCGCUAUGUGCUGCAAUGUGACUCUUAUCUGCCCUGCAGAAUCAGUAGUGCUCGCCCAUGUUACGUCUACUGCACUACCCGCAAAACGUUUAGGAUGUUGGACUGUUGGGUGAAAUUUCCAGAUGAACCUGAAGCCCGCCGGUCGAACCCGAUUGGACUGGACAAUCGCAAAAAAAAGGACGUGACGACUCACGCCCGCACAUUGAGCGACUGGAUGUGUAUAUAAUGUAUUUUUCACUCCCAUUCCCUUGAAUGUACUCAGCGCGGUACGUACCGCACGCAUACAUUUUGGCCACAAGCUUCGAUUUUUCAUCCACAGUCACAUUAUAAAUUAUAAAUAUAGUUAAGUAUUCUUAUAAAACACAAUAUCUGCAUACUUUGUAAUAUAUUUGUAUGGGUCGGGGGUUGGCACGGCGGCCGUUCUGUCUUGCUUGCUAAAAAACGGGAAAUGUAUUUUUAGCGUGAGUGAAGGCUUACGUGCAUUUUGAUUGGCUGAUAUCUGCGACAUUGCGGCACUAUGCACCAGGGACUCAAACUUUUUGACCUUCUCUAAAAUUGUCAUUGUAACUGUUGUUACAUUUAAUGUUUCAGUACUUUCUGCACAUUUUCUGUUCUCUCACAAGGAGCAGAAAAGCAAAAUUCACAACAGGCAUUUGAUUCAAUAAAGUUUCCAAGGACGUCCA